ACGCUCGACACCUACGGGGGGCAGCAGUGGGGAAUAUUGCACAAUGGGGGAAACCCGUGAUGCAGCGACGCCGCGUGAGCGAAGAAGUAUUUCGGUAUGUAAAGCUCUAUCAGCAGGGAAGAAACUGACGGUACCUGACUAAGAAGCACCGGCUAAAUACGUGCCAGCAGCCGCAGUAAUCUGAGCGGGCUGGCAAGGC
rnacentral:rRNA from 1 species